rnacentral:rRNA from 1 species
GAUGAACGCUGGCGGCGUGCCUAAUACAUGCAAGUCGAGCGAACGGACGAGAAGCUUGCUUCUCUGAUGUUAGCGGCGGACGGGUGAGUAACACGUGGAUAACCUACCUAUAAGACUGGGAUAACUUCGGGAAACCGGAGCUAAUACCGGAUGAUAUUUUGAACCGCAUGGUUCAAAAGUGAAAGACGGUCUUGCUGUCACUUAUAGAUGGAUCCGCGCUGCAUUAGCUAGUUGGUAAGGUAAAGGCUUACCAAGGCAACGAUGCAUAGCCGACCUGAGAGGGGGGUCGCCGACACUGGAGCGGGGACGCGGUCAAGGCUCCUACGGGAGGGAGCAGUAGGGAAUGUUCCGCAAUGGGCGAAAGCCUGACGGAGCGACGGCGCGUGAGUGAUGGAAGUCCUCGGAUCGUAAAACUGUGUUAUUAGGGAAGAACAUAUGUGUAAUGAACUGUGCACAGCUUGACGGUACCUAGUCAGAAAGCCACGGCUAACUACGUG